UGGCCCCAGAAACACCCCCGUUACAGGCCGAUCCGCCAGAGACGACUGACUCUCCCUCUGCUCCUGACUCCCAGGGAAGAGAUACUGACUGGCUGCUUAUGGGGUCUACACUGAGACCAAAAGUUGAGGCCAGGAGAGUGGGAACUUCCCGUACAAAAAGACUCUAAGGAAUUAUUAAAGGGAGAAAGGUGUUUCUUAGUAUCAAAAAUUCCCAGGAAAUGACCUCUGAGCCAGUGUUACUGGAAGAUGGAAAUGUGGAAUUGAAGAGUUUCUCCCUGAAUUUCGUGGCUGACCUUGCUCUGUUUUCUCCUAACUAAUGGAAAGCACCGCUGUCCUUGGUAACUUGAGCCCUCGGUACACUGAUACCCAGAUCCCUCCUGCUCUCCCAGUUCUGGGAGCUAUGCUAAAGACCACCUCUCCUAGGAUGUAAUUUCAUGCUCCGAAGUCAAAAUGCUCCCUUGGGUACAUUCAAACUUCUCCCAAUUGAUGCACAGAUUCCCGAGAUGCAAGAAACAAGCAUGUGUAGUUCCAACAAGCCUGAUGCCUUCCUGGAAGCCACAAAUGAUUCCAGUGUGACGGAGGAACACGGCACUUCUGGAAUUCCAUGGAAGACGGCUGUGAUGGGGAGCCUGGAAGCAGAGAGAGAUUGAGUCGAGAGCACAAACUGGAGAAUCUUGGCAUGCAGUAUGUGGGGAACUCUCCUCUCUGCUGUGGACGAGUGGAGCAGUCACUGGUAACCAUGAUCUACAACAAGAACCAGGACAUCAGCAGCACUACAGUGCCCGCUGGUCACUACAGCCAGCGUGACCAGUAUUCUACACCCAUACCAAGUCAGAAAUGAAACUCCUGUGUUUAUGACCCAAACUACAACUUCUACAUAAA